GGUGAGGAGGGAUUUGCUACUAAGGUGAGUUUUGAAAAUUCUUGAUUUGUUAUUAGAAUAUAUAAUUUACGUAGCAGUAGCCUGUAAAAA